rnacentral:rRNA from 1 species
AUUGAACGCUGGCGGCAUGCCUUACACAUGCAAGUCGAACGGUAACAGGUCUUCGGACGCUGACGAGUGGCGAACGGGUGAGUAAUACAUCGGAACGUGCCCAAUCGUGGGGGAUAACUACUCGAAAGAGUAGCUAAUACCGCAUACGAUCUGAGGAUGAAAGCGGGGGACCUUCGGGCCUCGCGCGAUUGGAGCGGCCGAUGGCAGAUUAGGUAGUUGGUGGGAUAAAAGCUUACCAAGCCGACGAUCUGUAGCUGGUCUGAGAGGACGACCAGCCACACUGGGACUGAGACACGGCCCAGACUCCUACGGGAGGCAGCAGUGGGGAAUUUUGGACAAUGGGCGAAAGCCUGAUCCAGCAAUGCCGCGUGCAGGAUGAAGGCCUUCGGGUUGUAAACUGCUUUUGUACGGAACGAAAAAGCUCCUUCUAAUACAGGGGGCCCAUGACGGUACCGUAAGAAUAAGCACCGGCUAACUACGUGCCAGCCGCCGCAGUAAUAC